rnacentral:ncRNA from 1 species
UAAGGGGUGCUUGGUCCAUUGGCCUUGCUGAGAAUAUACCCUCGAACCUGAUCCGGGUAAUGCCGGCGUAGGGAAGAAAGGAAAU